AUAGAAAACAGCAAUUGGAAGUAGCUCAUGGGUGAGGAACCUGUUGCUGUUAUUGUGAGGAAGAGGAAUCUCCAGACGUUGUUGAACUUUAUCUCCCAUCAGCCCCAGCCAAUAUGGCCAAUGGUGUAGUCCAACAACAUCUAGAAGACCACAGGUUCCUCAUUCCUUAUACACCUUAUAGGAUUUGACACAAGAGACUGCUUCCAAACACUCUGGUUCUUCUUCAAGAGACUCUGUAUGCUACAGCUAAACAAAGGAAUUGACAGCACAAUCCUAUACAGGUUUUCUCAUUAAGUAAGCACAAUGGAGUUCAGU